GUGGCGUCGUGUCAUCUCUGAUCAAAAGAGUCUGGAUGGGCCAGGGCCUGUAAUCCUGGCACUUGGGAGGCAGAGGCAGGAGGAU
rnacentral:miRNA from 1 species